rnacentral:rRNA from 1 species
AUAUAUAAAAUCCCUUAUAUUAAAAAAGGACGAUAGCUUUGCUAUGUUUCCGCUCUUAGAAGUUUGUAUCUCGUGUUGUAGUAGUAGAUCUAACCGUCUAACUAGCCUCUUAUGUAAACACGUAGUCGUAACUGAAAGGUUGAUCGAUCACAAUGUGGCCUGAACAAAGCCCAUUACAAUUGUUUCAGCAGUGAGGAAUCUUGGUCAAUAGCCGCAAGGUUGAACCAGCAACUUGGAGGAAUGUACACAAUUGUUGAAUGCAUUAUAAUGAUGCAUUAUUGAAGUCAAAUAAAAUUCUGGGUAGAUUGUGAUGAUGACAUUUUCUAUCUAUAUGUCUUGACCAACCCACGUGCCAGCAGUCGCGGUAAGACGUUAAAGACAAGUGUUAUUCAUGUUUAAUCGGUUUAAAGAGUACCAAGACUGUUAAUAAAGCCCAUAAAGGGGACACAUUAACUAGAGUUAUAUGAAAAGGGGCUGGAAGGUACUGUUGAGUGUAGAGAUGAUAUUCUUUGAUACCAGAUGAUUGGCACCGUUGAAUGCGAAGGCAUCUCCUUAUGUUAUAACUGACGUUGUAGGACGAAGGCUUAGGAAAUAAAAAGGAUUAGUUACCCAAGUAAUCUAGGCAGAAAAUGAUGAAUGUCAUAGGUUAAAUUUGAUCUAUAAAUGAAAGUGUAAGCAUUCCACCUCAAGAGUAAUUUGGCAACAUUGGAACUGAAAUCAUUAAACCGUUUUUGAAACCUGUAGUGAAGUAUGUUGUUUAAUUAGACGAUCCGCACAAAACCUUACCACAAUUUGAAUAAAUAUUUUUAUAUGUAUUUACAAGUGUUGCACGGCUGUCUUAAGUUAAUGUCGUGAGAUUUUGGUUUGUUCCAUUAAAUUGACGGAAACCCUAGCUUUAUUUAUUGAUAAAGUUGUUCGAAGAGAAAUCGUUUAUGUUAACAGGGA